ensembl:lncRNA
AUGGAGCUGCGCUGGCAGGAGCCCAGGGAGCCGAACAGGGUCCCCACCACGCAGGGUCCCCAUCACACAGGGUCCCCACCACGCAGGUCCCCACCACGCAGGGUCCCCACCACACAGGGUCCCCACCACGCAGGUCCCCACCACUCAGGCUCCCCACCACACAGGGUCCCCACCAUGCAGGGUCCCCAUCACCCAGGGUCCCCACCACGCAGGGUCCCCACCACAGGGUCCCCACCACGCAGGGUCCCCACCACGCAGGGUCCCCACCACGCAGGCUCCCCACCACCCAGGGUCCCCACCAUGCAGGGUCCCCACCACACAGGGUCCCCACCAUGCAGGGUCCCCAUCACCCAGGGUCCCCACCACGCAGGGUCCCCACCACACAGGGUCCCCACCAUGCAGGGUCCCCAUCACCCAGGGUCCCCACCACGCAGGGUCCCCACCACACAGGGUCCCCACCAUGCAGGGUCCCCAUCACCCAGGGUCCCCACCACCCAGGGUCCCCACCAUGCAGGGUCCCCACCACACAGGGUCCCCACCAUGAAGGCUCCCCACCACCCAGGGUCCCCACCACGCAGGGUCCCCACCACGCAGGGUCCCCAUCACCCAGGGUCCCCACCACGCAGGGUCCCCACCACACAGGGUCCCCACCACGCAGGCUCCCCACCACACAGGGUCUCCACCAUGCAGGGUCCCCAUCACCCAGGGUCCCCACCAUGCAGGGUCCCCACCACGCAGGGUCCCCACCAUGCACGGUCCCCACCACGCAGGCCCACAGUGGGAGGAGGACACGCUGAGGAGGGAAGGCCCCCAAGGCUGUAAAGGUGAAGCUGAGUUCAGACCACACAGGUCCCAGCGGAUGCCCCAUCUCGAAGGUUGUAAAGGCCGGUGCCCAUCAGUGGUGCCCACUAGGUCUGCAGGCACUGGGUAGCAUGAGCCACUUGAAGCUGGGAAGCUUUGGGACCCAUCUGUUACGCAGCAGAGGCUAACUGAUACAAGGGACGUGGGACUUGGGUGGGUGUGCUUCCUUUUUUACUCAGUAGAUAAGAAGACUGUUCAGACUAUAUGUAAGAUACAAGUAUUAACCUUCAGUAAACCCUGGAUUAUCUACCACCCAGGCUAAAAAAAAAAAAAAACAAUUUCUGAAGCCCCCUGAGUGACCUUCUUCAAACCCACCCCUGGGUGAAACGUCACCCUGAGUUCUGUUUCCUGCUCUUUGGAAUUUCAAGUCCUUUCCCCACACCUGCAAGGAAGCCCGAGGGAGGCUCUGGACCCACGCUCCCGGCCACUCACCCGCCCUCACAGCUGAGUGUCCCCACUGUCUGAGCCUGUCACACCUGGCUUGUCCACUCCACCAUGCCAGGCAGUUUGCAGAAUUACAGAUGUCACCGCGAGGACGAGUCCAACACCCGCCCCAGCUCAGGGUUCCUCCGGGUGCCCGGGGGGCCGAGGCGUGGUGCCCCUGCCGCUCACUUCACAUGCACGCUCGUCCACGCGGGCCACGACGGGCAGUCUGGAUGUCACUUCCGUGGGUCCGCAUCUCAAGCCUGCUCCUUUUCACAGAGUCUCUCUCGAAGAUCCCCCCUCAGUUUACACCCCAGUCCAGCCUCCUGCCACCGCACCAGUGCGCCAUGGCAUCAGACUGUGGACAGGUGUGGGAAGCGUUCUUAAUUACAGUUUUAAUUUGCUCUCACUGAACACCGAGCUCCGCUGGAGCUCCUGUUUCUCUUCCAGGCUCAAAUCCUUCGCUCAUUUUUAUCUUGUUAUCUGUCUGUUCCUGACUGAUUUGGAAGGUAGUUACACAUUCUGGACACUAAUCCUUUGUCAGCUGAAUGCAUUGAAAACAUCUCCUCCCAGUUGGUGGCUCCUGUGUCACUUAUUUAUGCCGCUGUUGAUGAAUUUUAAUGGAGCAGAAUUUGUCAGUCCUUCCCUUUUGUUUCACUUCUGCGGUUUUAAUAAACAAUUUCUUAGUCGGUGGUCAUGGUAUGUUCUCCUGUAUUGUCUCAUGAAAGUGUUACAAGCAUUUAUAUUACCAUUAAGUGCUUAAUCCCUCCAAAACUGAUUUUUAUGUGUGGAGUGAGGUAAGAGCCCCUUUGCUUUCUUUUUCAAGAUUUUAACCAAUUUCUCCAGCAUCAAUUACUAAACACCUCCUUUCCCCACUGAGGGGCAAGGCCAUCUCUGUUAUUAACAGAAAUCACACACAUAUUACAUCACACAGAUAUUAUAUCCCACAUAUAUCACAUCACGCAGAUACUACAUCCCACAUAUAUCACAUCACGCAGAUACUACAUCCCACAUAUAUCACAUCACGCAGAUACUACAUCCCACAUAUGUCACAUCACGCAGAUACUACAUCCCACAUAUAUUACACGUUACUUCACACAUUACAUCAUCACUUCCUCCUCAGACUCUCCACAUUGUCAGGAGUGAACUUUGGCCGCCAGGGCUCCUCUGCACCCGCAGUAAAAUCUCAUCACCCACGAUUUGCACUUUCUCCGCACACUGGCCUCUGAAGUCUCCUUACUGUGCUGUGCUCAUUGCUCAGCCAUGUCCAGCUCCUGCCACCGCACCAGUGCGCCAUGGCAUCAGACUGUGGACAGGUGUGGGAAGCGUUCUUAAUUACAGUUUUAAUUUGCUCUCACUGAACACCGGGAGCUUCUCCGCUCGGAGCUCCUGUUUCUCUUCCAGGCUCAAAUCCUUCGCUCAUUUUUAUCUUGUUAUCUGUCUGUUCCUGACUGAUUUGGAAGGUAGUUACACAUUCUGGACACUAAUCCUUUGUCAGCUGAAUGCAUUGAAAACAUCUCCUCCCAGUUGGUGGCUCCUGUGUCACUUAUUUAUGCCGCUGUUGAUGAAUUUUAAUGGAGCCGAAUUUGUCAGUCCUUCCCUUUUGUUUCACUUCUGCGGUUUUAAUAAACAAUUUCUUAGUCGGUGGUCAUGGUAUGUUCUCCUGUAUUGUCUCAUGAAAGUGUUACAAGCAUUUAUAUUACCAUUAAGUGCUUAAUCCCUCCAAAACUGAUUUUUAUGUGUGGAGUGAGGUAAGAGCCCCUUUGCUUUCUUUUUCAAGAUUUUAACCAAUUUCUCCAGCAUCAAUUACUAAACACCUCCUUUCCCC